UGCAAGUCGAGCGGCAGCGGAAGUAGCUUGCUACUUUGCCGGCGAGCGGCGGACGGGUGAGUAAUGUCUGGGAAACUGCCUGAUGGAGGGGGAUAACUACUGGAAACGGUGGCUAAUACCGCAUAACGUCGCAAGACCAAAGUGGGGGACCUUCGGGCCUCACGCCAUCGGAUGUGCCCAGAUGGGAUUAGCUAGUAGGUGGGGUAAUGGCUCACCUAGGCGACGAUCCCUAGCUGGUCUGAGAGGAUGACCAGCCACACUGGAACUGAGACACGGUCCAGACUCCUACGGGAGGCAGCAGUGGGGAAUAUUGCACAAUGGGCGCAAGCCUGAUGCAGCCAUGCCGCGUGUGUGAAGAAGGCCUUCGGGUUGUAAAGCACUUUCAGCGAGGAGGAAGGCAUCACACUUAAUACGUGUGGUGAUUGACGUUACUCGCAGAAGAAGCACCGGCUAACUCCGUGCCAGCAGCCGCGGUAAUACGGAGGGUGCAAGCGUUAAUCGGAAUUACUGGGCGUAAAGCGCACGCAGGCGGUUUGUUAAGUCAGAUGUGAAAUCCCCGCGCUUAACGUGGGAACUGCAUUUGAAACUGGCAAGCUAGAGUCUUGU
rnacentral:rRNA from 1 species